rnacentral:rRNA from 1 species
UACGAAGGGGGGCUAGCGUUGUUCGGAAUUACUGGGCGUAAAGCGUGCGCAGGCGGCUUCUCAAGUCAGGGGUGAAAGCCCAGAGCUCAACUCUGGAAUUGCCUUUGAGACUGAGUGGCUUGAGUACGAGAGAGGUGAGUGGAAUUCCCAGUGUAGAGGUGAAAUUCGUAGAUAUUGGGAAGAACACCGGUGGCGAAGGCGGCUCACUGGCUCGUAACUGACGCUCAUGCACGACAGCGUGGGGGAUCAAACAGG